GUCCUUUAGGGAAGAAUUUAAGGUCUAAUCUGCCCAAUGAUUAUUUAAAUGGCCGCAGUAUUUUGACUGUGCAAAGGUAGCAUAAUCAUUAGUUUUUUAAUUGAAAGCUUGUAUGAAUGGUUGGACGAGAUAUAAUCUGUCUUUUUUUAAUUAUUAGAAUUUAAUUUUAAAGUUAAAAAGCUUUAAUUUUUUUAAAAGACGAGAAGACCCUAUAGAUCUUAAUAAUUUUUUUUGAUGAUGAGUUUUAGGAAUAUUUUUUUUAUUAUUAAAUUAAUUAUUUUAUUGGGGUAAUAAGAAGAUUAAAUUAAUUCUUUUUUUAAAAAAAUAAAGAUAAAUAGAUUUAUGAUCCAAAAUUUUUGAUUAGAAGAUUAAGUUACCUUAGGGAUAACAGCGUAAUUUUUUUUGAGAGUUCUUAUCGAUAAAAAAGUUUGCGACCUCGAUGUUGGAUUAAGAAUUAUUCUAGGAGAAGAAAUUUAGAAAUUUGGUCUGUUCGACCAUUGAAUUUUUACA
rnacentral:rRNA from 1 species